UACGUAUGGAGCAAGCGUUAUCCGGAUUUACUGGGUGUAAAGGGUGCGUAGGUGGCAGUGCAAGUCAGAUGUGAAAGGCCGGGGCUCAACCCCGGAGCUGCAUUAGAAACUGCAUAGCUGGAGUACAGGAGAGGCAGGCGGAAUUCCUAGUGUAGCGGUGAAAUGCGUAGAUAUUAGGAGGAACACCAGUGGCGAAGGCGGCCUGCUGGACUGUUACUGACACUGAGGCACGAAAGCGUGGGGAGCAAACAGG
rnacentral:rRNA from 1 species